CGGUCCAGGAUUACCUGGAUGCCAACCAUUUAGUCUGAAAGGUUGUUAAGGCACUCCUAGUAACUAACAGGAAGAAUUCUUGUGCAGAAGUCGUUCAUUGCAAGCUUAUUAGCAUGUUAGCAAACAUGUUUUACCAAGUACCUGAAGAAACCGAUGAGACUGUCUCAAGUACCCGUUUAUUUGUUGUGGAGCAAGUUGAUCUGAUUGGUGGAAUUGAGUUUAUUUUCCUUAGGUAU